AUAAACCUAGAUAUUUGGCUUUAAGGUCAGCUUUUAGCUGUAUCCACGAUAAGGGUAUACUUGACCAUGUAUGGCAAAAAUUAGAAGCUAACCGUACUGCUACUUAAGGGAUUUGCCAAAGAAUAGUUGGGUCGCUACGCGGACAAUGUUUCGGUCAAUUGGUAUAAAAAUUUGUGAUAGUAACAAACAUACUCUGUUGAAGCUCAUGUUACCUAAAAUCAACUACACAUUAGACAAAGACCUUUAUGACGAGCUAAUUAGAUCAUGUCCUAUAAAUCAAAU
rnacentral:misc_RNA from 1 species